rnacentral:rRNA from 2 species
GCGGAGGAAGAGGAAUUAACAAAGAUUCCCUCAGUAACGGCGAGUGAAGUGGGAUUUAGCCCAGCACCGAAUCCUAGCGAGCGUUGCUUCGCGUGGACCUGUGGUGUUUGGGGCCUCGGCUUUCGGCCGGUGUCGGCGCGCCUCAGUUCCAUUGAAAGGGCAGUUGCUCCAGAGCGGGUGCCAGACCCUUGUGUUGCGCGCGGCCGUGUCGAAUGCUCCAGAGGCCCCUCGAGUCGGGUUGUUUGAGAAUGCAGCCCAAAGACGGUGGUAAGCUCCAUCGAAGGCUAAACAUUGCCACGAGUCCGAUAGCGAACAAGUACCGUGAGGGAACGUUGAAAAGGACUUCGAAGAGAGAGUUCAAGAGUACGUGAAACCGCCUAAAGGGAAACGAGUGGCUCCGCAUUGUCGGCCUGCGGCGUUCAGCUUGCGAUUCUCGAACGGCUGUCCGGCCGGGUGUCCAGCACGGCAGUCCUCUCGCGGGGGCUGUGCGGCGGCCUGGUCGCGAAGUGUGUCGGAGAGCGCGUGCAUUCGCCGCGAGGCAGGGCGUCACGAUCGCUUCUCGCUGCUCGACAGUCGGCGAUGCCGGCGCGUUAGACGACUCCGUUCGCGUGAGUCUGUCGAACCGCGCGGCGUGCCUUCCCGGGUAGUGGGGAGCGUGUAACGAUCGCAGCAACUCUCGCAGUGGCUGCUUUGCAUCGGUGGCGAAUGAGUCGGUCUGCUACUC